AUUCCCGUUAAAUAAGGAGAGAAUCCUUGCGGAAACAGAGAAGUUUCAGAGAGAGAGAAGAAGAAGAAGAGUACAGGGAUUGGAAACUGAGGAGCUCGAGGCUCUAUAUAUUAAGGGAAGGAGUGGAAAAGGGAAGUGGCUAUAAACGUCUGUGAUGAGUAAGGAAGGAACAAUGUCAUGUGGCCUUACAGCAAGCAGUCGGUGAGGUUUUAAAUUAUUUGGCAGAAUUGGAAUUACUACUGCUUAUGGUUAAAUUAGUAAAUCAAAAUUGUUUGACUUAUGGAAUGGAGUUUGAACAAGAAUGUGUGAUUUUUUGUGCCUUUGGUAAAA